UAGUUUAGCAGUGGCUAUAGCAUCUGUGUGAUUGGAAUAAAAUGGUAUUAUUAACAAAAAUGAGGUUUGAACUAAGGGCUGAUGAACGUGCCUAAGAUGGUUUAUAUUGAAACAUGAAUCAAAACACAAAAAGUUCAAUUUUUCUUCAUUAUAGGCAUCUUCUUGGAAGUGAAAAGGUAAAUUAUAAUUUGGGUAAAAUUAAGAAUGCUUAAU
rnacentral:lncRNA from 1 species